rnacentral:rRNA from 1 species
AGUGAACGCUGGCGGUGGGCCUAACACAUGCAAGUCGAACGGCAGCACAGUAAGAGCUUGCUCUUACGGGUGGCGAGUGGCGGACGGGUGAGGAAUACAUCGGAAUCUACUUUUUCGUGGGGGAUAACGUAGGGAAACUUACGCUAAUACCGCAUACGACCUACGGGUGAAAGCAGGGGAUCUUCGGACCUUGCGCGAUUGAAUGAGCCGAUGUCGGAUUAGCUAGUUGGCGGGGUAAAGGCCCACCAAGGCGACGAUCCGUAGCUGGUCUGAGAGGAUGAUCAGCCACACUGGAACUGAGACACGGUCCAGACUCCUACGGGAGGCAGCAGUGGGGAAUAUUGGACAAUGGGCGCAAGCCUGAUCCAGCCAUACCGCGUGGGUGAAGAAGGCCUUCGGGUUGUAAAGCCCUUUUGUUGGGAAAGAAAAGCGGCAGGUUAAUACCCCGCUGUUCUGACGGUACCCAAAGAAUAAGCACCGGCUAACUUCGUG